GACGAACGCUGGCGGCGUGCUUAACACAUGCCAGUCGAACGGAAAGGCCCUUCGGGGUACUCGAGUGGCGAACGGGUGAGUAACACGUGGGUGAUCUGCCCUGCACUUUGGGAUAAGCCUGGGAAACUGGGUCUAAUACCGAAUAGGACCACGCGCUGCAUGGUGUGUGGUGGAAAGCUUUUGCGGUGUGGGAUGGGCCCGCGGCCUAUCAGCUUGUUGGUGGGGUAAUGGCCUACCAAGGCGACGACGGGUAGCCGGCCUGAGAGGGUGACCGGCCACACUGGGACUGGGGUACGGCCCAGACUCAUACGGGAGGCAGCAGUGGAGAAUAUUGCACAAUGGGCGCAAGCCUGAUGCAGCGACGCCGCGUGGGGGAUGACGGCCUUCGGGUGGUAAACCUCUUUCAAUAGGGACGAGGCGCAAGUGACGGUACCUAUAGAAGAAGAACCGGCCAACUACGU
rnacentral:rRNA from 1 species